UACGUAGGGGGCGAGCGUUGUCCGGAAUUAUUGGGCGUAAAGGGCGCGUAGGCGGCCGACCAAGUCGGGUGUGAAAUCCCUCGGCUCAACCGAGGAACUGCACUCGAUACUGGUUGGCUCGAGUCCGGGAGGGGAUGGUGGAAUUCCCAGUAUAGCGGUGAAAUGCGUAGAUAUUGGGAAGAACACCGGUGGCGAAAGCGCUCUGCUGGACCUUAACUGACACUGAGGGACGAAAGCUAGGGGAGCGAAUGGG
rnacentral:rRNA from 1 species